rnacentral:lncRNA from 1 species
UACCGGUUCUGUUGCUCAUAUUUGCAACUCAAAACAGGAACUGCGGAAUAGGCGAAGGCUGGCGAAAGAUGAAGUGACGAUGCGCGUAGGAAAUGGUUCCAAGGUUGAUGCAAUCGCCGUCGGCACAGUGUCACUUCAGUUACCGUCAGGAUUAGUGAUGAACUUAAAUCAUUGUUAUUUAGUGCCUGCGUUGAGCAUGAACAUUAUAUCUGGAUC